GGUAGUUGUAGUUUAAUAGGUAAAACGAAUCUUUGUGGCAGAUUAUAUUAGAGUUCAAGUCUCUACUAUUACC
rnacentral:tRNA from 1 species